AACCCAUGAUGAGGGCACAAUCUCACAAUCUCCUUGAAGCGCUCCCAAGCUUCACAAAGCGAUUCUCCAUCCUUUUGAGAAAAACUUGAAAUUGAUUUCUCAAUUGU